rnacentral:rRNA from 1 species
AUUGAACGCUGGCGGCAGGCCUAACACAUGCAAGUCGAGCGGUAGAGAGGUGCUUGCAUCUCUUGAGAGCGGCGGACGGGUGAGUAAUGCCUAGGAAUCUGCCUAGUGGUGGGGGGAUAAACGUUCGGAAACGGACGCUAAUACCGCAUACGUCCUACGGGAGAAAGCGGGGGAUCUUCGGACCUCGCGCCAUUAGAUGAGCCUAGGUCGGAUUAGCUAGUUGGUGAGGUAAUGGCUCACCAAGGCGACGAUCCGUAACUGGUCUGAGAGGAUGAUCAGUCACACUGGAACUGAGACACGGUCCAGACUCCUACGGGAGGCAGCAGUGGGGAAUAUUGGACAAUGGGCGAAAGCCUGAUCCAGCCAUGCCGCGUG